rnacentral:misc_RNA from 1 species
GCAGAAUCUGAUGUGGAAGUGGGGGUCUCAGCUUACAGUAUCAUGCAAUCAAAACAACUUUCAGACAAAGUACCAACUAGGAGAUCUGUUUCAUUUGGCAGCUUAGUUCAAGAAGAUUAUGGGCCUAUGCUUACAGAUGAACAUUUGAAUUCUCCAAAUAGAGCUACUGUAUCAGUACAAAGAAGGUCGCCUGAGAAAUCCAUCUUUAGCUUGAUGAUUAAUAUGAUGGUCAAAUCACUUGCAUGGAUUUGCUUCUUGUUUCAUGGUGUGGGUAGGUUAUUUGUGAAGAAUAGUGAUGCAAACAGAUCGAGAAAUGGACGGGUAUCAGUGAAUGCAAGUUCAGUCGAGCAAAAUGUUUCUUCCCCAAAAAAGGAGGAUCUCCUCCAUCCAUGCUGUCAGAGGUUGCAACAUUUAGAGAACGUCGUAGCUGAUUUGUUGAAGAAACCUACCAAAAUUCCUCCAGAAAAAGAGCACAUGCUGCUUGAUUCAAUGGACCGCAUAAAGUUCAUAGAGUAUGACUUGCAGAGGACGAAGAAAGCACUACUUGCAACA